rnacentral:RNase_P_RNA from 1 species
UGAGCUGGUCGGACGGCGGCCCUGGCUCCGGCCAGGGAGGAAAGUCCGGACUUCAUUGGGCACAGUGCCCUGGGCAACCAGGGGCGGGGCGACCCGACGGACAGUGCAACAGAAAGCAGACAGCCCGUCAAAGCCUUGGCAAAGGCGGGUGAUGGUGAAACGGUGCGGUAAGAGCGCACCAGCGUCCUGGGUGACCAGGGCGGCUCGGCAAACCCCACUGGAAGCAAGGCCAAAUAGGGAGGCGCAAACCCUGCCCGGCGAGCCUCCGGGUCGGCCGCAUAGACAAAUCGCCGUACAAAAACAGAAUCCGGCUUAUAGACCAGCUCUCAAC